rnacentral:rRNA from 1 species
AGUGAACGCUGGCGGUAGGCCUAACACAUGCAAGUCGAACGGCAGCACAGGAGAGCUUGCUCUCUGGGUGGCGAGUGGCGGACGGGUGAGGAAUACAUCGGAAUCUGCCCAGUCGUGGGGGAUAACGUAGGGAAACUUACGCUAAUACCGCAUACGACCUUCGGGUGAAAGAGGGGGAUCGCAAGACCUCUCGCGAUUGGAUGAGCCGAUGUCGGAUUAGCUAGUUGGCGGGGUAAUGGCCCACCAAGGCGACGAUCCGUAGCUGGUCUGAGAGGAUGAUCAGCCACACUGGAACUGAGACACGGUCCAGACUCCUACGGGAGGCAGCAGUGGGGAAUAUUGGACAAUGGGCGCAAGCCUGAUCCAGCCAUACCGCGUGGGUGAAGAAGGCCUUCGGGCUGUAAAGCCCUUUUGUUGGGAAAGAAAUCUUUCAGGCUAAUACCCUGGGAGGAUGACGGUACCCAAAGAAUAAGCACCGGCUAACUUCGUG